GAUGAACGCUGGCGGCGUGCCUAAUACAUGCAAGUCGAGCGAACAGACGAGGAGCUUGCUCCUCUGACGUUAGCGGCGGACGGGUGAGUAACACGUGGAUAACCUACCUAUAAGACUGGGAUAACUUCGGGAAACCGGAGCUAAUACCGGAUAAUAUAUUGAACCGCAUGGUUCAAUAGUGAAAGACGGUUUUGCUGUCACUUAUAGAUGGAUCCGCGCCGCAUUAGCUAGUUGGUAAGGUAACGGCUUACCAAGGCAACGAUGCGUAGCCGACGUGAGAGGCUGAUCGGCCACACUGGAACUGAGACACGGUCCAGGCUCCUACGGGAGGCAGCAGUAGGGAAUGUUCCGCAAUGGGCGAAAGCCUGACGGAGCAACGCCGCGUGAGUGAUGAAGGUCUUCCGAGCGUAAAACUCUGUUAUUAGGGAAGAACAAAUGUGUAAGUAACUAUGCACGUCUUGACGGUACCUGAUCAGAAAGCCACGGCUAACUACGUG
rnacentral:rRNA from 1 species